CCCUCGCAGAAUAUUUUUUUAUUAUAUGCAUACCGUAAUUGAUUAUGACAGCAUGCCACGUGUAUCGUUGACACCUUUUUAAUCACCAUAAGUUAAACAAACCACUGGCACAUGUACUGUUGACACCUAUCUAAUCACCCAAGUCAGGACAAAACUACCGGUUAUUACACGAAAUUGGGAACUAAAUAUCCAACUAAAUAUGUCUUCUCUUGUAUUGUCUAUAACUGAACUUCAGAUUUUUUUUUGGCUUUUUUUUUUAUUACAAAUCUUGUGUUAUUAUAAGACAAUUUAGUGAAUUGUAGUUUCUCUGGUUUCUGAUCAUACUUUGAAUGGUGGACUCUUGGCGUUAUUUAUCUGUACAAUGUAAUACUAUUUAAUAAAGCACAUUUUAAACUCGAAGGCAUUUUGUCAUCAUCUAAGACUGAAAGCAUGCAGAUAUAAAUGGUCAUUUUCAAAGCACACUUAGCACAUUUAAAACACACACAUAGCACAUACAAAACAUACAUAGCACAGACAGACUUCUGAGUCAUAUCUGAGGUAACAUGCAAAAAUGAAUGGUGUUGUAAUUUAAAGGCAAAAGCACAAGUAUAAACAUAGGCAGGAGUAAUUAAC
rnacentral:lncRNA from 1 species